rnacentral:rRNA from 1 species
GAUGAACGCUGGCGGCGUGCCUAAUACAUGCAAGUCGAGCGAACGGACGAGAAGCUUGCUUCUCUGAUGUUAGCGGCGGACGGGUGAGUAACACGUGGAUAACCUACCUAUAAGACUGGGAUAACUUCGGGAAACCGCAGCUCCUACCGCCCCAUAUCCUCCCCCCCCCCCUCCCACCCUCCCCGCCGCUCCUCCCCCCACUCACAGCUCCACCCGCGCUGCAUUAGCUACCUGGUAAGGUAACGGCUCACCAAGGCAACGAUGCAUAGCCGACCUGAGAGGGUGGUCGGCCACACUGGAACUGAGACACGGUCCAGACUCCGACGGGAGGCAGCAGUAGGGAAUCUUCCGCGAUGGGCGAAAGCCUGACGGAGCAACGCCGCGUGAGUGAUGAAGGUCUUCGGAUCGUAAAACUCUGUUAUUAGGGAAGAACAUAUGUGUAAGUAACUGUGCACAUCUUGACGGUACCUAAUCAGAAAGCCACGGCUAGCUACGUG